rnacentral:rRNA from 1 species
GAUUUCUGGUACGGCGCACUUGGCCCGCUUCGGUUACGAGGUCGAGUGCCGGUGUGCGCCUGCCAUCCUUCUAGAGUACGUCUCUCCCUUCAGUGGGUUGGGCCGGAAUCUAGAUCAUUUACUUUGAAAAAAUUAGAGUGUUUCAAGCAGGCAUGUUUGCUAUGAAUACAUUAGCAUGGAAUAAUAAUCUAGGACUUUCGGUUCUAUUUUGUUGGUGUUCUGGAGCUGAAGUAAUGAUUGAUAGGGAUAGUUGGGGGUGCUAGUAUUCAAUGGCCAGAGGUGAAAUUCUCGGAUUCCUUGAAGACUAACUUAUGCGAAAGCAUU